rnacentral:rRNA from 1 species
UACAGGGGUUGCAAACGUUGCUCGGAAUCAUUGGGCGUAAAGCGCACGUAGGCGGUCUGUUAUGUCGGAUGUGAAAGCCCUUGGCUCAACUGAGGAAGUGCAUCCGAAACUGGCAGGCUAGAGUACUAAAGAGGGUCGCGGAAUUCCCGGUGUAGAGGUGAAAUUCGUAGAUAUCGGGAGGAACACCGGUGGCGAAGGCGGCGACCUGGGUAGAUACUGACGCUGAGGUGCGAAAGCGUGGGGAGCAAACAGG